rnacentral:sRNA from 1 species
CGAUGCCCUGGGCAUGUGUUUAGCAGUUCUAUCUGUGAAUCACCCUUUCUUAGAUAAGAGGUGCAUUUUUUGCAAGGACAGAGACAAGCCAGCUCUACAUUUCCCUCUCAGUUCCAGGGGCCAGGGAGUUUGCUGUAAGAGGUUAGGGCUGGCCUAGGCAUGAGGGGCGUAAAACUUGGGUCAUGUCCAUUAGACCGAUGACGAGGCCAGAGGAGGUCUGUGUCGUGUGUGCCUUGGUGUCUGUCCACUGAAACUCAUAAGCUCAGCCAGGGAGGAGCUGUCUCAUUUUAGGCUUUGGUGCUGGUACUUAUUGACAGUUUCUUGAGAAAGAUGUGAUUUCGGUCCCAGAGCCACAGGAAAUCAGCUCAUGGAAUGUGUCGCUGCAUCAUGUUACUCAGGGUGUGCCCAAGUCUUGUAGCCCAGAAAUCAAUGCUGAGGGCUCUGAAACAGCCCAAGGGUCGCAGUAUACGCCCAAGAGCAGCGGGGGAAAAGGGCAAGGAAUGCCGUCUUUCCAAAGCACGAAGUCACCAGACAAGUCCAUGCCUGAAGAGGAAUGUUGUAAUGUUCAGCUUUUGAAGAUACCCGCGGAAGUGUCUUUCCCUUAACUCACACAGACAUUCACCAUUCGCGACGGUGGCGCUUAGCUCAGCAGGAGCAUGCAGCACUGGUGGCACGCGUGCUGUGUGCCGUGUUAUCCUGCUUUUCCCUGGCGCUGGCGGCACGCGUGCUGUGUGCCAUGUUAUCCUGCUUUUCCCUGGCGCUGGCGGCACGCGUGCUGUGUGCCAUGUUAUCCUGCUUUUCCCUGGCGCUGGCGGCACCUGUGCUGUGUGCCGUGUUAUCCUGCUUUUCCCUGGCGCUGGCGGCACCUCUGCUGUGUGCCGUGUUAUCCUGCUUUUCCCUGGCGCUGGCGGCACCUGUGCUGUGUGCCGUGUUAUCCUGCUUUUCCCUGGCGCUGGUGGCACCUCUGCUGUGUGCCGUGUUAUCCUGCUUUUCCCUGGCGCUGGCGGCACCUGUGCUGUGUGCCGUGUUAUCCUGCUUUUCCCUGGCGCUGGCGGCACCUGUGCUGUGUGCCGUGUUAUCCUGCUUUUCCCUGGCGCUGGCGGCACCUGUGCUGUGUGCUGUGUUAUCCUGCUUUUCCCUGGCGCUGGUGGCACCUGUGCUGUGUGCUGGGGUAUUCACCUCUUCCCUGUGGGGAAUAAGGCUUGAGACUCGCUUCCUUCCUGCCCUUAGGGCUGUAAUAGCUUUGUCCUCACUGUGCCCCUAAACUGAUUUGCUUUUCAGUUACAUAUUCAGCCUCCCAUGGAUUAAAUGCUUAGAUAAUUCAUUAAAUGUGGAGUAGUUACUGAUUGGCUCAUGUCAUCUGGAAAUACAUGACUGAAAGCACUUUGUCAAAACCCUGUGCACAUUGCAACACGCAUGGCUCCGCGGCCCUGCGCGUAUGGGAGCAGCAGGUGGGUCUGCUGCUUAGAGGACGGCUGUGCUCUUCCGCCGCUGAGAUGACUCUGGUGAUGUGUGCACGUCUUGCCAGUUCUGCGUUCGUUUCUCGUCUGUAUACGUAGCUUCCUAUUUCUCGUUGGUUUGUGUAUGUGUUGGGUAAGGCUUUGCUGCCUGGAUAAUGAGUGGUUGAAGCCAUAAUAAAAUGUCUAGGGCGUGGGCAGGCACUGCAGGUGUAUCUGGGCAGCAGUGGUGGUGGCUGUGCUGUCCAUCGGGCGAGUGGUCUGAGAGUGUCUUUGUGCUUCCUCCUCAGGUGUCGAUUGACUGCCCGUGGUCCAUCUACUCCACGGUCAUCGCACUGACCUUCAGCGUACCCUUCAGGACCACGCACACCCUGCUGUCCUCAGGAACACGGAAAUAUGUUCAAGUUUGUGUCCAGAAUUUGUCAGAACUCGACUUUCAGCUGUCAGAUAGUUAUCUUGUAGAUACCGGUGAUAGUACCGACCUGCAACUAGUACCACUGAACACGCAGUCCCAGCAGCCCAUCUACAGCAAGCAGUCGGUGUUCUUCGUCUGGGAACUCAAGUGGACAGAAGAUCCUCCUCCUUCUCUGCACUGCCGGUUCUCUGUCGGAUUUUCCCCAGCUUGUGAGGAGCAGCUGUCUAUCUCCUUAAAGCCGUAUGCUUAUGAAUUUAAAGUGGAAAACUUUUUUACAUUAUACAACGUGAAGGCUGAGAUCUUUCCCCCUUCGGGAAUGGAGUAUUGCAGAACAGGCUCCCUCUGCUCCCUGGAGGUUUUGAUCACGAGGCUCUCAGACCUCUUGGAGGUGGAUAAAGAUGAAGCACUGACUGAAUCUGAUGAGCAUUUUUCGACAAAGCUUAUGUAUGAAGUUGUCGACAACAGUAGCAAUUGGGCAGUGUGUGGGAAAAGCUGCGGUGUCAUCUCCAUGCCAGUGGCUGCUCGGGCCACUCACAGGGUCCACAUGGAAGUAAUGCCGCUCUUCGCCGGGUAUCUCCCUCUGCCCGACGUCAGGCUGUUCAAGUACCUCCCCCAUCAUUCUGCACACUCCUCCCAACUGGACGCUGACAGCUGGAUAGAAAACGACAGCCUGUCGGUAGACAAGCACGGGGACGACCAGCCGGACAGCAGCAGCCUCAAGAGCAGGGGCAGCGUGCAUUCGGCCUGCAGCAGCGAGCACAAAGGCCUACCCAUGCCCCGGCUGCAGGCACUGCCGGCCGGCCAGGUCUUCAACUCCAGCUCGGGCACGCAAGUCCUGGUCAUUCCCAGCCAAGAUGACCACAUCCUGGAAGUCAGUGUAACAUGACAACGCCAGGAUGAACACACGCCACUUCCCAGCUAGGAGUGCACUUUAUGGGACUGUGACUGGACUCUUCUCCGUUCUGGCUCCAACCACACCUUCAGUGGUCCUGCCUGGCCGUGGGGACAUCAGAGAGUGUCAUCACACAGCUGGCCAGCUGAGUUCUGUUGUUGUUUUCAUGCCGCCUGUGAUCUCAGAUUCCUGCUUUUCUCACCCUGUCCCCAUGCUGGUGUCCCAUGCCGCUUACUCAGAGCCCCGGCCUCCCUCCCCCUACCUCACACGCUGCUUACGAAAGUUUCCACCCACGCUGUCUCCACGGAACAGCCUCCAUCUGCUGGCUCUUCAUGGAAGGCCAUUUGUCUUUCAGGUAGACACUCAGCAGGCCUCGCAGUCUUAGUGACGUGUGUGCCUUUCUGGUCACACAGCUGCCCAGUUUCCUGAUAGGGGUGGAUUUGUGUCCCCUAAGGGGUAAAACAGCCAUUUACCGCAGAUCCUCUCGUUGUGCUUUUCUAGAAUAACACCCUUCUAGGGGAGGUGGGUGGGGGGAGGGAGGGAUCAUAACCCCUUCUGUGCCUUGGGAUGCCGGAGCUGGGGGACCUGGAGGCCCAUCAGCCGGAGCCACGUGAAACGUACUGAAGAAAGCUGAGACCCGGCUGUGAGGAGUGCCUCAGUGGUGAGGUGGUUUAGGGAUAAAUGUUUCUGGAACCCUGUGGUCCCCCAUAAUGUUGAUAGAAUAUCAUAUGCACUGGGAGUUAAAUAUAUUUAAUUUAAUAUCAUUAUAUAUGUGGGGGUUAAUAUGUUGUUUUUCUGUCCCUUUAAAGUCUUUACAUGUAAUUGUAGCUGUAUAAUCAUUUUUCUUUUGCAUCUUAAGUCUUAGAAAUUAAAGUAUUCCAUCGUGAGGAUGAGAGAGGUCCUCAGUAUGGUUUUGGUCUGGUUGUAGGGAAGGACUCAAGUCCUGGAAUGUCCUCCACUGGUCUACUCAGUUGCAGUCACACUGUUCCAAUGGAUUAUUUGCUUUCGGUUGUAAAUUUAAUUGUACAUAUGGUUGAUUUAUUAUUUUUAAAAAUACAGACUAACUGAUGUAAUGUUUAUGUAUAAGUUGCACCAAAAAUCAAGGACAAAAAUAAGUGUGUUUGUUUUUACAGGUGUGAAAGUCACAGCUUGUAAAUAAGUGUUGUAUGUAUUAAACCUUUUCCAGCUCUCCAAAGCGAUGUAUUUUUGUACAUUUGAAAUAGAGUACUCUUAAUUUACUGGGCAAAUGUGCUUGGAAUUGAACUUGACAAGAUUAGCUCAAGCAGAUAAAGUCAGGUCCAGCAGUGGGUGACCCUCGUGUGAAUCCCCGUGGAUGUGCAAGUCAUGGAGAGAAGGAGCACCGGGUUCCUGCCCAGCACUGUGCUUGUGAGAGGCGGCGGGGCGUGGGAGGAAGGAGGCACAGACCGGGGAAAUAUGACAGCCGUCAUUUCCAGUAUUCUCUAUGUUGUCUUUUAGCUCAUUCAACAAAUAAAGGUGAUGUGACUUUUUUUUUCCUCCUGUCUUUUUCGUUUGUAGAAAUUGGAGACGUGUAAAGAAGAUAAAUAAUUGUGUAAUUAAACUUUCCAGAAAUUUAUCUUCCUCAUAUGCAGUUUAAAACUAACAAACUUGGUCGAACUAGUUAGCAAAUCAGAACUUCAGAAUCUAAUGAUAGUUUAGGGUUUCUAAAAUAAGGUUUUUUAUUGUAAAAAUUGACGAUUGCCCUGCAUUUCUACCAAGUCCUGUGAAUAAAGAGAUGGGAGACUUGAUUCUGUCAGAAGAGCCUGUAAUCCGUGUUGUCAGCCUGGGAGCCUUCCCCAGCAUAAUGUAGCUUUCUCUCUUACCUUCUGGAAGAGGGAAUGUGAUUAAAUGUUUCAUUUAUUACUGUUUGAUUUUCUUGUAUCUGGGUUCUACUCCCAGGAUGAAAUUAUCCAACUACAUAUAUAUUUAGAGGAAGAAAGUGAAGGGGAAAUUUAAAAUGUUUACGGCGCUUUCUUAUUGCCUGGAAAUGGAAUGAAAUCAAAUUUAUCAGUUUUUUCCCCCUAAUUACCCAAAAGAUCUCUUGCAAACUGUUACAUGAAUGCUUCUGCCUCUUUAAGACAAAGAAGAAUGUCACCCAAAAUUGUCAUUUUUUUCUUAAUGUUCAUCAUAAAAGUCCUAAAAGAGUAACUGUAAUUGGAUGUUUAUUGUUUUAUAUAAAGUAAGGUCUAUGUGUUUGAGACAAGCUGGUUUUGUUGAUAAAGAUAUAAGAGAUGUUAAAUAAUUGUGAAGCCAGAUACACAAUGUGUAUCUAAAAAGCAAGGAAUUUGCAGCCGUUUUACAAAUAUCUGUGGAACAUGUAAGUACUGUCAAAUGGAAAAUAAAAUAAGUUAUAAUUUUUGUGAAUUUCAUGGGAUGUCCUAUGAUUGGAAAAAUUAUAACUCUUCUGAUUCUAAUGUGGAAAUUGUUGUAUUUAAUCUGAAAAUGACUUUACCUACAACAGUUCCAUCGUCAGCACAGCCUAGGAGGGUCAGAUUCCUGUAUUAAUUACUCUUAGUGGAGAUGCUAGAUAUCCCAUACAGAAUUAGCAGAGAAAAUACACACAGGCUUCUAUUCAAAUUUUCUUUAGUGCUUAAAAUUAAGUUUUAAAAUGAAAUCAGACACUGCAGGUUUAUACAUAAAGUGAAAAGCUAUACUACUUUUUAUAAAAGGGCAAACUGGGCUGAUCUAAAUGUUUUACUUUCAACUGUGUUCUUUAAAAUAAAUCCUACCUGGUUUUUAAAUUUUAUUUUUCAUGAAAAUGCUCCUUUCUUUACAUUUAUUCAUCCUAUAUACAUCAGGCUGUAAGACCCCCCCCCCCAGGCAUCAUUAAUACAAUGUGUUGGGAUUCUGUGACUGGAAAAGGUGACAAGUUGGUGACUUUGACACUGCAGGUAUUCCAUUUUCAUGGUUUACUACGAAAAGUCAUUUUUCAUAUUAUGUAAUAUAUUGUUAGAUUAAAACCAUUGUAUUAAGACUGUUUAAAAUGUAAGCAUUGUAAUUCUGAAAAUACACAUUUUAAGAAGAAA